rnacentral:rRNA from 1 species
UACGUAGGGACCAAGCGUUGUUCGGAUUUACUGGGCGUAAAGGGCGCGUAGGCGGCGUGGUAAGUCACUUGUGAAAUCUCUGAGCUCAACUCAGAACGGCCAAGUGAUACUGCUGUGCUCGAGUGUGGAAGGGGCAAUCGGAAUUCUUGGUGUAGCGGUGAAAUGCGUAGAUAUCAAGAGGAACACCUGAGGUGAAGACGGGUUGCUGGGCCAACACUGACGCUGAGGCGCGAAAGCCAGGGGAGCAAACGGG